CAGCGCAUGUCAAAGUAGUUUGUGGAGUUUCUUACACAAAAUAGGAUAAUUGAACAAUCCUUGUUGUUUUCAACUAUUCCGUUUCAACAAUAUCAAUAUAUUAUUACUAGUACUGUUCUGAAAACAAAUUACAACCCAAUCAUUGGAACUCUUAAUAUAAGGCAGAAGAUGUUUUAACUUCAGUCAAUAAAGCAGAUUUCCAGCCUGUUGACAGUUGCCUUCAAUUUUCAAAAUAUGUCAGUGUCUCAGAACAGAUGCAGGUGGGACAAGAAGUCUCAACACAAAGCACUUUUAACAGCAAAGAUGACAAAUGAUUGAAUACUGUUUCCCUAUGCAUAUUUCAGGUCUCGUGUUUUCUUAAUAAUUGCUUACCCAGAACACCAUCACUUUCUCUUUUCCCUGAUGAGGCAGGCUGUAGUUUCUGCACAACUGGGGUAGGCUCCAAUAUCCAUCAACUGGAAUUGAAUAUGUAUGCUUGGAAUUUAAGGAACUCUAAGUGCAAGAAUACCAAAACUGAAAAUUGUCCACAAUAUUCCAUAGAAAAAAAAUAUCCCUAUUACAAAUGUGUUGAAUAAAUAAUUUCAGUUUAGCAGUAUAUUGGGGAAACAAUAGAAACAUAGAUCUAUUUGGAUAGUUAGAAAUCCAUGGCAAUUACUUGCAAAUUUCUCAGAAUAUGACAAUAAAUCACUAUUUUGCUCACUUUUGCUGUGUUUUUCUUAUCCUCUGUCUGAAGAGAUGCUAUAAGCAUAACUUUGUCACAAACCAACACAUUCUGUUGCUCCAAAGUUUUCAAAAUGGUGGGGCUUGUUGGCAGAUAUGCCUUGCUAGGAAAGAUCAGCUUCAUAUAGACAACCUAAUCUUACUUAAUCUAGAGUAGGCUCCAUUAUAGAUUAAGCUAGCUACCAUCACAAAGAAGGAAAAAAGGAAUUGCUUCCCUGCAGUUAUUUUGAGGUUUAUCAUGUAUUUGCGUCUUCUGCUCAUUGUACUUUCCAAAUAAUGCUAUAAAAGGGAGCAAGGAAAGUUAAAAUAAGACCAGCCCUUUCUUGCUUGUGUGAAAUCUUCCUGCAAAAUUUAAAUGUACAGAUUCAGUUUUAUGAAACUCUGAAAUGUAACCCUUCAGUUUCUUAAAAUAUUUUUGAAAAAGGCCUCCAAGUUCUCACCCUGAUAUACUAAUGAAAUACAAACAAGAGUUGAGACUGCUAGGUUUUUGUUUCUGGUAUUUUUAGUUUAGUUUUGUUAUUUGAUUAAUCUCCCAGAACUUGGCUUUCAAUUGCCAGUUAUGUUUCAUCAGAACUGUGACAGAACAGAGGCUUGUACAGGGAAAAGUGAAAGAGAAGGAGGAGGCAUAACAGCUAAGGAGAGGUUAAACCAUCAAUUCUCUUAAGUGAUGCCAUUGUACUAUUGCAGUGAUGGGGAAUGGGCAGGCCAUCCUGAUUUGACUGCAAUACCAACCUUUCCUAUGAAACUGUUGCGGCGAGACUGGCUGGAAAAUAGGCUCCGUCGAGCCUUGUAAAAAUCCAGCCAGACAAACCGCUGUCGGGGGGGGGGUGUCUUCGGACUGGAUCUGUCUUGUAGGGAUGGUGAAGAAGGAGUGGCACCUUGGACGACCAAGAGUAACAGGCAAGUUCCUCAGAGGUCGGAGGAAACUCUUCGACCCAGGGAGUGGGGGGGGCAGUCAUUAUGACCAUCAUGAAGCUGGGGCAACCAGAAUAAGAUUGUACAGGUGCUGUUUUGGAUGGAGUAUUGGUACCGGGUGAGUGAUUGGCCAACUCACAGAUAAAAAAAGAAGUAUUUUUAAAAAAUUUAAAAAGUCCUAGCAAGGAAAUAGCAGCUAAUUGGCGUUGGGGAAUGUUAAUGAAGGGAGAACCACAAAACAGAAGUUAAAGCACUAAAGCCCAGAAUGGAGCUUGAUAUUUGGAUUGGAAAUUGGAUUUGGGGGUAUUAAGAUUAUUAUAAAAAAAAGAAACCUGAAAGAAAAUAGUUUAUGAACAAGAUUGUACAUAAUCUUAAAAGUUUUGAACUUUGAAGGAAAAACAAACAUUCAAAAUAGAAAAGCCUUGUAAAGGAAAUUUUUCAAUUGGAUUUGAAAUUGGAUUUUUAACUGGAAUUUGGGAUAUGUAAAAUUAAGAAGAGAAAGAAGAAACUUGAAAAGCAUUUGAUAAGUGGAGUUAAUACACAAAUUGGAUACUUUACGAUUUUGUUGAUUUGAAACUUGUGAAUUGGAGAGAGACAUCUGCUGGUGGAAAAAAAGCACUACAACGAAUAAUUUGAAAUCUGGAAAAAAUGACAGUGACCUUGAGCUACAAGAGCAGUGAGAAGUUUGAAGGAGGAUUUGUUUUCUUUUAAGCUAUUUGAUCUAGACAACCAAAGGAGGUGGAAAAUAAUAAAACUGUAAAUUGAAGUUAAAAACAAACUAGAAUGUCAAAAUGUGACAGGAACUAAUUGAGAUGAUUAAAAUGAUGGGUGUAUCAUUUAAUUUUGAUAGAAAACGAGAAAUUGUGUCAGAACAUAUUCAUUUGGAUAAAGAGGCUAAGAACGAGAAGCAAGAAAACAGCACUGAAGAUAAAGACAUUGAUGAUGAAAAAUUAAAUGAUUACAUUGGGAGUAACAAUGAAAAAAAGAGAAGGGAUAGGAGGAAACAACCUACAGAAAAGAAGCAAACUAAGGGAAGAAAAGGAAAGGGAAAAGGCUAGAGGAAAAUAUUUUUAAUGAUUACACUGGGAUUAACAGUGGCAAAAAUAGAGAGGAUAGGACAAAGCAAAAGAGAAAAGAAAAUGAAAGGAUUAGGUACAAAGUUUAAUUAUUUACACUGAGCCAACAGUGUAGAAAUAAGAAAAGUGAGAGGAGAAAAGGGGAAUAGAUCAGAUGGGAACUUAAGGCAAACUAGAUGAGUAAAGGAUUUAAAAGUCAAAGAAAGGAUACAGAAGAAAAGACAUAAUUAUAAAAAGAAAAAAAGAGAGAGAAUGGGAUAAAGGGAGGAAAUUUUUAAGAGGUGGAUUGCUGGAUGGACCAACAGAAAAUGGUUAAAGGAGUAAUUAAUGGAAAGGAAGAAGGGUACUAUGAUAUAUACCUAUAGUUAUAAGUGAACUGCAUUAAUAUUUGUGAGUGUAAUACAAAAUAAAUUGUGUAAUACGAAUGGUAGAAUAGAGAAAAAAGGAGGAAAGAAAAUAUGCUAUAUACUUAUAGAAUCAAAUGAACUGUAUUAAUAUCAGUAUUGUAAAAAUUGAAUUAUGAUAUAAAUUGUGAAAUACAAAAAUAAUGUUAGAAGGGUUAAUAUGAUAUGUAUUUAGAAGGGGUUAAGAUAUAGAACUUCAAUUGAAAUUGAAUAAGAUAUUAAUAGAAAUUAAGAAAAAAGAUGAUUAAGAGAUUAAGAUAAUGUUUGUAUUUGAAAAAGGUGGUGUGAAAAACAAAACUGAAGAAAUAUAUUGUUUUCGGUAAAAUGGUAAAAUGAUUAAUAGGGAAAUAAGAAAUGAUAAAUUGGUCCACCAUAGAAAAUAAUUGACAUUAAGAGAUAAAAGUGAAAUAUCAAGCUAUAUUAAAAAAAAAUAGAAACUAAGGAUGAAAAUGACUAUGUUUAAAUUAUUGGGUUUCAAUAGAGAAAAGGAAAUAAGUGGAAACAAAUUGAUGAUAAUUUACAAAUGUGAUUUUGAGAAAUAUAUGUGAUAAAUGGAGAAAUAAGAUUAAGAUUGGAGGUUAGGAUGGAUGGUA